rnacentral:rRNA from 1 species
CGGUGGAGCAUGUGGUUUAAUUCGAAGCAACGCGAAGAACCUUACCAAAUCUUGACAUCCUCUGAUCCCUCUAGAGAUAGAGUUUUCCCCUUCGGGGGACAGAGUGACAGGUGGUGCAUGGUUGUCGUCAGCUCGUGUCGUGAGAUGUUGGGUUAAGUCCCGCAACGAGCGCAACCCUUAAGCUUAGUUGCCAUCAUUAAGUUGGGCACUCUAAGUUGACUGCCGGUGACAAACCGGAGGAAGGUGGGGAUGACGUCAAAUCAUCAUGCCCCUUAUGAUUUGGGCUACACACGUGCUACAAUGGACAAUACAAAGGGUAGCGAAACCGCGAGGUCAAGCAAAUCCCAUAAAGUUGUUCUCAGUUCGGAUUGUAGUCUGCAACUCGACUACAUGAAGCUGGAAUCGCUAGUAAUCGUAGAUCAGCAUGCUACGGUGAAUACGUUCCCGGGUCUUGUACACACCGCCCGUCACACCACGAGAGUUUGUAACACCCGAAGCCGGUGGAGUAACCUUUUGGAGCUAGCCGUCGAAGGUGGGACAAAUGAUUGGGGUGAAGUCGUAACAAGGUAGCCGUAUCGGAAGGUGCGGCUGGAUCACCUCCUUUCUAAGGA